CCAUCCAUCUGGCCCAACCGCUCCCCGACCCGGAGCCUCGAACGGAACCAGCGCCAGACCAAGAAAAGGGCGUGACCGGAAACUCGCUGGAGCCGGAAAGCGACACUCUGUCGGAUGGGUCGGCGGGGCGCGGCGGGCCGCGAGGGUGGGGUCAGGCCUGGUCGCGGGCGUGGGCCCGCCGCGGGGAGUGGGGCCAGCGGUGGGGCCAGUGGCGGGACCAGCGGCCCAACUGGGAGCAGUGGCGGGGCCAGGGCCAGGAGUGGGCGGCCAGGUGGGGGCCGUGGAGGACCAGGGACGGCAGCAGGGAUCAGCCCGGGCGGCGACGGCGGCCUGAGGGCUCGCGGCCGGGCGGGGCCGCGGCGGGGGAGGGGCACCCCGCGCCAGAGGAGCCGGUCCAAGGGGACGGGGGCGCGGGGGCGGGUGAGGACGUCGUGCGCUGGAUCCCCAUUAUGCUCGGCUCACGCAGGACGGGGGACGUGUUGGCGACGAUCCAACUUGUGCAGGUUAGCCCGGGGACCAGUGAAGCUCAGCGGGAGAAGCAGAUGUGUGAUGGCGUGAAGGACAUCCUACCAGACCUCCGCCGCUACAGGUUUACUACUUUCAAUCUCAUGGGGAUGAAGGCAAUGUGAUGCGAGGAUCACUGUUGUGGGCUGCAAAGUCGGAGGUGUAGCUGUAGCGUAGCGAAGGACUCUUGGUGGUCUGGCCGCCAUCAAACCGGAAUAUACGCCAAAGUCAAACUAUCCGCUAUAUAGAUAUAUCAGACCACUUUUGGACUGUUCGCGAGGCUAUUUCUGCGAUACAGCGCGUUUGUGGUUGGGGGAGGCCACAGCAGCGUUCUGGAACUGUAGUCCGGCCGCAAAGGUUGGGAUAGUUUGGAGUUUGGCGCUGGACCAGAACAUCGCUGUCACUUUGGGGGCGGUGUGGCGCGGUAGAUCACGGUCGGCCCGAGGGUUGGCCGGAACAGAUCGGGUCGCGUUGGUUACGGACGUCUCUAUUUAUUUCGAGCUGUCAGCAGAACUGCCUCCCUAUCAGGCUCGAGGUGCUGUUCUGGGGCCUUCGGGACCUGAGCCCCUCCUGCGCUCCGGGAUACCAGUUCGUGGCCCUGCACCUGGCGGGCGCGCGCAUCGAGUCCUGUCGCCUCGACCCGGCCGCCUCGCUCAACUUCCAAGAGCCCUACUCGUCGGUCGACCUGGACCUGCCCGACGACCCCUCGCUGUUGCCCGGGGUGCACCUGGUGCUGCUGCGGCGCGCUGCGUUCGGUCUGUUCCGCCGCUACGCCGCCACGCACUUGCUGCCCAGCGCGGCGCUGCUGCUCGCCUCCCCGACGGCCUCCACCGCGCUGGACUCCGAGCCCUGGCCCUGGUUGCCCUCCGCGCUCACGGGGGCGACCGCGGCCCCUAGCACCCCGGCGGACGAGCCGCUCGCGGCCCUCUCGCGCGGAAACCCAGCCGAGGCCUCCUCCUCCCCCUCCUCGGACUCCGUGGUGAUCGAGCUGCCCGAGGACGUAACCACGCACCAGGCUGAACAAGGUUCGGGCCGCGCCCCUUCGCAGCCCUCCGACCUUCACUUGAGGGUGGGGAUUAGGUGGAAAUCCUCCCUUUGUCCCGCCCAUUCCCCCGCUUUCCCCCCCAGAGAGCGAGAAGGCGCCUUUGCUGUCACGCCUGGGCAGGGCCGCGGGCCGCGCCGUGCCGCAGCGGGUCCGGAAUCUGGGGGGCGGCGCGGUGGAGGCGGCGAGGCUGCGGAUGUCUCGCCGCCGUGCGGG